rnacentral:misc_RNA from 1 species
GAUGAAGAACGCAGUGAAAUGCGAUAAGUAAUGUGAAUUGCAGAAUUCAGUGAAUCAUCGAAUCUUUGAACGCACCUUGCGCUCUUUGGUAUUCCGAAGAGCAUGCCUGUUUGAGUGUCAUGAAAAUAUCAACCUUGACUUGGGUUUUGUGCUCUAGUCUCGGCUGGGAAUUGGGUGCUUGCCGCUUUUACGAGCGGCUCACCUUAAAUGUAUUAGCUGGAUCUGUCUUUGAGACUUGGUUUGACUUGGCGUAAUAAGUAUUUCGCUAAGGACAUUCUUCGGAGUGGCCUCGUUUCUAGGACGCUUGUCCGCUUUCCAAUACAAGUUCCACCUCGUGGACAUGACUUUUUAUUAUCUGGCCUCAAAUCAGGUAGGACUACCCGCUGAACUUAAGCAUAUCAAUAAGCGGAGGA